CAUGUAUCGAUGAUCAUAUCAUCUACGAUGAAAAUAUUUUAUUAGAUUUCUAUAGGAUGCUCUGGUAUGAUCACGAUCUCCACAGCGAAAAUAGAAACCUCUUUUAAAGGGCAUCGGUGAUUGAUUUGAGGAAUGGAAGGAAACUGAAGGGAUUCUGACACCAGUAUUCUUAUAGGAUAUUAUUUUAUCCCUGUCUAUAUCUCUCGUCAUCCGGGCA
rnacentral:lncRNA from 1 species